CCCGACUGCUAUCGGAUUGAGAUUUAGCCAUGCGAGUCGAACGUCCCCCUGUUGCGGGGGGCGUGGCGUACGGCUCAGUAACACGUAGUCAACCUGCCCUGGAGACAAGGACAACCCCGGGAAACUGGGAUUAAUCCGUGAUAGGUCAUCUCAUCUGGAAGGAGAGAUGGCUUAAAGGGGUACGCGGGCUUCUUCCGCGAAUUCGCUCCAGGAUGGGACUGCGUCCGAUCAGGCUGUUGGCGGGGUAAUGGCCCACCAAACCUGUAACCGGUACGGGCCUUGAGAGAGGUGGCCCGGAGAUGGACACUGAGAGAAGGGUCCAGGUCCUACGGGGCGCAGCAGGCGCGAAACCUUCGCAAUGCGCGAAAGCGUGACGAGGUUAAUCCGAGUGACUCCCGCUUAGGGGGUCUUUUGUCAGCUGUAAAUAGGCAGGCGAAUAAGGGGAGGGCAAGCCUGGUGUCAGCCGCCGCGGUAAUACCAGCUCCUCGAGUGGUCGGGGCGAUUAUUGGGCCUAAAGCAUCCGUAGCCGGUUCCGUAGGUCCUCUGUUAAAUCCAACCGCUCAACGGUUGACCUGCAGAGGAUACCGCGGGACUAGGAGGCGGGAGAGGCGGACGGUAUUCCGCGUGUAGGGGUAAAAUCCGUUGAUCCGCGGAGGACCACCAGUGGCGAAGGCGGUCCGCCAGAACGCGCUCGACGGUGAGGGAUGAAAGCUGGGGGAGCGAACCGGAUUAGAUACCCGGGUAGUCCCAGCCGUAAACGAUGCGAGCUAGAUGAUCCAAUCGCAAAUCGCGAUUGGAGUGUCGCAGGGAAGCCGUUAAGCUCGCCGCCUGGGGAGUACGGUCGCAAGACU
rnacentral:rRNA from 1 species